AACGGGGAGGGGUUUGAGGAGGGGAUCGGAAUGUGGCUCAAGUUCGGGAGGCGUUACCUGCGGAGGGUUUGAGGCAGGCCCAAGAGCGAGCCCAUGGUCUUCCGACGCGGGGCCAGGGGCGGGCCCCAGGAUCCGGAGCUUCGUGCGGGGCCGAGUCCAGGUUUGGGGCCCGGGAGGCGGGGCCAGUUAGGGCGACUGUCCCUGGGAUCGUCGGGUCAGGCCUUGGGCUAACGUAGGCACUCUCGCAGUUCCUCCGCCUUCAGGAAGGUCUUUUCAGCAGGGGCCUUACGGGUGCAUGCUUCGGUCCUGGAGGCCUUAUCCUAGCCUCCUCUCCAUCAGCGCCACCCGUCUGGGGCCCGAAAGGAGGGAGCUUUCCCUCUGUCCCCCAGCCUUUGGACUGUCACCAAACAAGCCAUUCGUUCAUCAAAUACUUUUUAAGCGCCUACCAUGUGCCUGACAAGGGAGAUGUAACGGUGAGAAAAACUAGGUGUGGUCCAGGCCCUUCAGGGGCUCAGGUGCUCGUGGAAGAAGUGGACAUUGAAGUACUUAUCACACAAAUGAGGAUAAAAGUACGAUAGCGAUAUCUACCACGAAGCUGUUGUUCCCCACCAGAACCAAAUGAGCGCAAGAUCUGACAAAGAAAAAAAAAGGUUCAUCUUUUAUUCCUCCAAACACUUUCAUUUAAAUCAAGAGGAUGGGAUGUGGUUAUUGCUGUGUUUUUAGACAGAAUCAACGGUUUCUGGGUCUGAGAUGUUGCAUACACCUUCUCAGUCCCUGUAUCCUGAGAUGGAGUCACCUGAGAAUCCACAGCAAGUCCUAACCAGGGAUGGGUCUGGGUGAUUAAGGAAGGUUGGCUUCAGAACUGGGCCAGGGGCACUGCUUUGCUUUUGCUGUUUUGAUCAGCUCUCUGCCUGAAGGAGACAAGAAAAACCAACGGGAACAGCUGGGGAAACUGAGUUACAGAGCUUGUCUGCACUGAGUCAUCAGGAGCAAAUGCUAGAUCAGAUAGGGUCUCUCUCUCUGCCACCCAGGCCAGAGUGCAGUUGACGCAGGGCAGGGGAGCCCCGAAGUGGAGCAUAGUGUGUCCGGAACUGGUGGGUUCUUGGUCUCACUGACUUCAAGAAAGAAGCCGCGGACCCUCGCGUUCUACAAGGCCUGGAGCUGAUAGGAAAAACCUCCCUUCUUUCCCAAAUGGUCCCCAGCUGCCCCGUUCACUGAAGGCCCUGCAGUCAGGAACGGUCAGGACUUCACACCCAGUUGUUGUGGGUGUUUGGCCGACACGACACUUCCUCUUGUGUGAUUCAUGGACCCGCAGCAUUGCGUCACCUGGGAGCUUUUGGUAUUGAAGACUCUCAGGGCUCACCCGGAAGGACCUGCUGGGCCAGAAUCUACAUUUUAACAAGAUGCCCAGAAACUCCUGGAGGGCAGAGGCAUGCCUGCCAUCUUCAUCAUUGCAUUACCACCACCCAACACUAUCGGGGGACCUGCCCUGAUAAUCAGUCUACAGGUGUAUCCAGCAGCUCCAGAGAGACAGCGACCAGCGAGAAGGGGCCAUGAUGAUGGAGGUGGUUUUGUCAAAACGAAAAUGGGGAUAUGUAGGGAAAAGAAAGAGAGAUCAGACUGUUACUGUGUCUACAUAGAAAGGGAAGACAUAAGAGACUCCAUUUUGAAAAAGACCUGUACUUUAAACAAUUGCUUUGCUGAGAUGUUGUUAAUCUGUAGCUUUGCCCCAGCCACUUUGCCCCAACCACUUUGACCCAAUCUGGAGCUCAUAAAAACAUGUGUUGUAUGAAAUCAAGGUUUAAGGCAUGUAGGGCUGUGCAGGACGUGCCUUGUUAACCAAAUGUUUGCAAGCAGUAUACUUGGUAAAAGUCAUCACCAUUCUCUCAUCUCAAUAAACCAGGGGCACAAUGCACUGUGGAAAGCCGCAGGGACCUCUGCCCUUGAAAGCUGGGUAUUGUCCAAAGUUCCUCCCCAUGUGAUAGUCUGAAAUAUGGCCUCGUGGGAUGAGAAAGACCUGACGGUCCCCCAGCGCGACACCCAUAAAAGAUCUGUGCUGAGGUGGAUUAGUCAAAGAGGAAAGACUUGCAGUUGAGAUAGAGGAAGGCCACUGUCUCCUGACUGCCCCUGGGAACUGAAUGUCUCGGUAUAAAACACGAUUGUACAUUUGUUCAGUUCUGAGAUGGGAGAAAAACCGCCCUAUGGUGGGAGGCGAGACAUGUUUACAGCAAUGCUGCCUUGUUAUCCUUUACUCCACUGAGAUGUCUGGGUGGAGAGAAACAUAAAUCUGGCUUACAUGCACGUCCAGUCAUAGUACCUUCCCUUGAACUUCAUUAUGACAUGGAUUCUAUUGCUCACGUUUGUUGCUGACCUUCUCCUUAUUAUCACCCUGCCCUCCUACUACAUUCCUUUUUGCUGAAAUAAUGAAGAUAAUAAUCAAUAAAAACUGAGGGAAUUCA
rnacentral:lncRNA from 1 species